UCCGGGAGAUGAGGCUAGUAUCGGAACCUUCGGCCUCAGACGGAGGACGUGGCGUGGCGGCACAGCCCACUUUUCCCUUGCAAGGGAGAGCCACCUUCUCUUGUCCCUUCGUACGGUAAGAAGGCUGGUGUAAUUGGUUUCUUGUAACACAAAGCAGGAAUGUGGGCGGUGAGCUGAUGUGCUGCACCUCGCCUUGUGGGGGUCUGGGACUCUGGGAGUACGCUGCACACUACGUAGUGUGGGACUACGCCAACCUGUCCCUUACCCUGUCCUAUCGCAUACACAAUACACACACGGGUAUGUUCCCCUGCAAAACACACACUUUCAAUUAUUCGCAGUGUAGUGUUGGCUCUCUCCUGUUGGAUUUGGGUUUUGCCCCGCCCCCGCCGGGGUACUACCAGAAUCACGCGUGUCCCUCAGGCUGGGGCCAUCAUCUAGCUCGGUGCACGCGCACCAACAAUGGUGCGCGUCACGGCCAUGUCCACGUCCUAGACAUCCAACUUACGCAUCCUAGCGCGACUCAAGCUGCCGAAGCCAUCUACGUUAGCACCUGCAACGGCCACGUCCCCCCAUCAGUAGACAGGCGCAGGAGCGAAGAAUUCUCCACAGCUGCCGCGCUAUUCCGCACCACCUGUCUAGCACGCAUGGCCCACAGCCACCAACACACAUGCUUGCCGGCUCAGCAGCCGCCGCAGUACAGCCUGCAUGGGGGCGGGGGGGGCAAGGGGGGCAGUUGUUGUUGUUGUUGUGCCUGACCCAAACCUGCCAUUCCUGCAUGCCACCCCAAACCUGCCAUUCCUGCAUGCCACCCCAAACCUGCCCCAGCCCUGACCCAAGCCUGCCCCAAACCUGCCAUCCCAAACCUGACACAAACCUGACCCGAACCUGACCUCGGCCCGCCACGACCCCCACCCGCACCCCCACCAGUGCCAACACCCCCACCAACACCAACACCAGCGCCGCCAGUUCCACUGCAGGGUUGGCAGGGCCUUAGAUUUAGAUAACUAAGGAUAUGCUUAUAUAGCUUAUAUAUAACUUAGACAUUAGACAGAGGCCCCCCGACGACCAUAGUCAACGCACGGUCAAACUAAUGUUGCUGCGGUAUAUAGCAUUAUAUAAGCUUAUCUAAUCUUACCCAAGGUUUAGACUGGGGCCAUACAUGCGGUACGCCGCCCACGUGCCAGGCCCCAGCAAGAUCCUCGCCGCGGGCCUUGAAGCCAGCGACGAGGAGCUGAUCCUGCAGCAGUGCGAGGAGGAGGAGGAGGAGCUGGGGGCGGCGGCGGCGGCGCAGCAGGCGGCGCAGCCGCGCCUGCAGCUGACGGCAGAGGGCAUGCCGUACAUUACGGAGACGGAGCCGCUCGUGGAGUGAACAAAGCGGCCGCCGCAGCGGAGCACGGACAGGAGGCUGCAGCGGAGAGGAAGCUGAGCCAGCUUGAGCAUUCACGCAUUCUUUCAUUAUAUAUGGGGGCUUGACGUAGACUGCGUGGGGUGCAUGGGGCCCCAUAUGGGGAGUCGAAUGAGGCUGAGAGCGGCUGCGGCGGCAUUGACGUGCAUGGGUUUGGGGACCGUCAGGGGCUGGAGUGCAGUGGGUCGGGCAGCACAGGCUUUCGGACUGUUGAUUACAGAAGGGGACGGAGAGAGCAACGCAUUAGACUACUUAGCAGCAAAAACGGCUCAGCCCAUGACCCACUUCUCCUUGGGACACCCCCCGUGUAAGGUGGGCCUGCCUAACUUAAAUAAGCAUAGAUAAGCAUAGAUAAGCUUAUCUAAGGCUUUGGUCCGCGCGGCUAUCUAAGGUUUUGGCCAACCCUGUUCCACUGUGGCCGCCCCUGUUCCCCGCCGCUCCACCCCCCACAGCGGCGCCGUGGUCUUUCACCCGGUGGACAGUCACGCAACGAUGACGUGUACCCUUGCGUGCACCCCGGGUUGGGGGAGGUUGGGUCUCCCUGUUCGAAGGCUGGCCGCACGCAGCGCAUUGCCCUGAGCCUGCUUCCGAUUCCACACUCCUGCCCCCCGCCCAAUGUCGCUGUGUCGCUGUGCCGAUCCUUGCCCGCCGGAGCCCCCAGCCCCACCGAGCCAUCCACUCCAGCGCCUGUCACUCCGCCACCGUAUUUAGCGCCCCCCUGCCGGGAAGGGGUAGUUGGCGACAUUCGACGACCAUAUGCAGCCCCACGCGGCGAGAAUGCGCCCGCGGAAAUGCCCAAUCUUUCUCGCCCGAUGGCCUGCCUCUGGGGGCGUUUCUUGCCGUUCCCUUAAGAUGCAAGCCCUGGCCAAGGCCCUUGCUUGCCCUAGCCGCCUCCGCCUCCAUUGCCGAACGCGGCAGGCUGCGGGAUUUCGCCGCCACCUCUAACCUCUUCCUUGGUGGCACCCCGCCAGCAGCGCGGCCGUUGCCUGCGCCAUGAGGGCACAUCAUCCCGAGCAAGGUCAGCAUUUGGCCGACACGCAAAACCCGCGCUGCUGCGAGCUCCCUCCCAACGCAGUCUCCGAACGGGAGGUGGCAGGGGUAAGAGGCGGUGGGACCCUGCUGCCAGGUGCAGAUGUAAAUGUGUUGGGCAAGUUACACAGGGCACGAGGCGACGAGGGUCAAGGCACACCAGGGCACACUGUCACGGCAGGCGAGUGCAUGCGACACACACACACACACACAAAAAAAAUACCGUAUUGCCACGCUCAAUUGGUGAUUUUAUAAUUGGUGACAGGAAGAAAUCGCGUUGGAAUUAAACAGUCUGACACAGAUUUUGGUGAUGGGCUCUGGCAGAAGCCAGGCCGAAGUACACCCGUGUCACAGAAUUGGUGAUGGGACCCCCCAAAUCGUACCCAGCGUCUCCGGCCCCGGCAGCUGCAACACAAGCCCCGCGCUUGCAGGCGCAGUCAGGCGCUAUCCAGCCAAUGUCCCACAGCUUAAGCUGCUUAGGGCCUUUGGGGGCUACACUGAGCAUUGUGCGUACACUAUUGCUUAGUAUAGGAAUAGCGUCACUAGCCAAAGCAGCCUGUUUGCGUGUUUUCGCCCGACUUGGAUUCAGAGUGCACAGGCAUUGGUGACGGGCUCUGGCAAAUCCUAGUCGACAAUGUUCCCUGCUACCAAAUUGGUGAUUUUCACCAAAUUGGUGUCACCAAUUGAGCGUGGCAGUACGGUAGAUAAACCUUCAUCCUGGGACAGCUCCGACUAACCCCCAACUAACUCGUGUACGGCACCCCAACCCCCCUCAGCCGUACAGGAGGUAGCGUGGCAGUCGGCAGCUGCGCGAGUGUGAGCAGGUAGUUGUAUGGCGGCCGGCUCGGAAGCUACCUGUAUGUAGUGACGCACACGGGCAGUUGGCGCUAGUCGACAGGCGCGCGAGUGGGAGCUGGCAGUUGAGCGCGCACGCGUGUGGGAAGCUGCGUCUGAGCACGGCGGAGCACGGCAGAGGCUGGUGGUUGGCGCGGCGCGCGAGUGGCAGUGCAUAGUCGUGCGCCGUCUGGGAAGCUGCGUGUGUGAGCUGCGUGUAAGCUCAGAGAGACGCAUGGGGCUGCCCCUGUGCCAUAAGCUGCCUCUGGGUGCAAACGCUUUCACACGGUUGACAGUUGGGCUCCGGCGGGGGUGGGAAUCGCGCGAGUGCACGACGGGCGCUGGGGGGCAGGGCGCAUACACGCAGAACUCUAGUAAAACCGAGAAAUGGCCAUUCGUAGGCGCUGGCGCAUAGCCAGCUGUAAACAUUAUCGUACUUACUGGGACAGUUAACGGUGGGGGGUAAGCCGUGCGCUCCUUCAAUUCAUCGCCUCAGGCUCAGGUCCUUAUGCAGCUGCUCCACGCGGGUACCACCAGGCGGCUGGAUGGGGUCUAGGGGAGCCCCUUCUUCCACGGGCCUUUUCACUAUGAGCAAUAACUCGUACAAGGGUGCUGACCCUUUUCUCGACCCUUUUCCCUCGACCCUGGUGAAACUGGGUUGCCGUCCGGGGGUGCGUUUUCCCAGCCAAACCCGCACGCGUGGCGGCCCUUGGACGUUGCCCCGGGGCAAAUCCUACCGCACAGAUUAGACACCGCCUUUAAAUAGGUACAUAACCAACAUCAUGAUUAGCCAGAAGUGGUCGGCAAACGUCCAAAUUAUGCUUAUCGGGGCUCAAGUCGCGAAAUUGACCCAAGCCCAUAUCUCACAUAUGCGCUGUUUGGGGCCUGAAUCAAUUGCCGCCAAUGUAAUUUCUAGUAUAUAUGUAAACAAGAUAGCUUCAGGCUAAGUUGGCGGGGUCCUGGCGAGCGCGACAAUUAGCAUUUCCACUUGAGCUCUCGCUCGAAAUUAUGCCCGAGCACCAUCCAGGGACCUUAUUAUAUGUAUAGGACGCCAAUUCAAUGGUCGGGGCGAUAAUCUGGGCAUAGACCUCGCGAUCCCGCCCUUGACCCCUGGAGUGGUACCCGCGUCGAAACCCUAAGGACCGACCCGAAUCAGCAUUGCAGCGGUGUCAGGACAGCCCGGGACAGUCUGCAAGGACCAAAACCCAACUGUCCUAUCCGAAUCCGAAAGUGCGCAAAGCAAUCCUCACCUGCCCUAUCCCAAUCCUCAAGUGCCAACACCAAUCCUCACCCGAACAAACCCAAUCCCCAAAAGUGGUAUUCCAAUCCCUGGCCGGUCAAACCCAAUCCUCAAGUGCUGGGUCCAAUCCUACUCUGGCCAAUCCAAUCCACGGAGGGGUGACCGGCGGCGGGACCAAUCCUAUACCCCAUACCACCCCUCUGCCCGCGUGAGCUGCUCGCAGGCUGCCAGAGCUCGGAAGCGGCAUCCUGCUGCUUUAAGGACGUUUCAGGACAUGGGCCUCCGGGCCAAGGCAUUGCGCGUCUGUGACGCCGUCGAGAAAAUGUGUGGUGCUUGCGUUUGAUGGGGAUGUCGGCAGACCUCUGGCCUGUCGCGCCUUGUUGUGCGUUGGUGCUGCCGCCAAAAGACCUAAACGAGAUGAGGGGUGUUACGUGGCGGUGGGGCUUUGGCGGGCUUCGGCUUGGCUUCGACUCAUGUGCGUAACACUAUGAAGGUCGGCAGCCAACCAGGGGGCGGGUGUUGUUUCUCUGGGUCGCAGAUGGCCCUUCGCGGCGUGGGUACGGCGUGCCCCCGCUUGUCGGGUUGUCCCUUCAAUUGUAAUCCGCAUCCUUUAAGGAUGGUCUGGCAUUUUUAACAAAGGUUGUUUCAGAGCCGCUCAGCCUCUGGAGGGAUCUGCACAGGCCUCUGAAGGGCUCUGAGGGCUCUGAAGGGGAGGGCUUGAGUCCGGCACGCAAGCGGCCUGCGCGCCGAAGCAGAACACGGGCUGAGCCAGCACACAAGUGAGCACCGGGAAGUUCCCAUUCCAGCGCUGGCAAGGCGUGUGAAGUGGUACAGUGCACCAUGCAGUGGGUGCAUGGGCGCGAGGGCACGUAGGCCCGAGUGGCUUCACCGGUCGCUCUGCUCGCUUGUACGGCAGCCAGGUCGCAUCCGAGCGCCCUCACAACAACAGCCGCCAUCGGAGCAAUGCCACAUCCGAGUCAGUUAACGUGCCUCGUCCCGUGGGCCCUCAAAACGACAGCACUUCACACACACAGUUGCGCUCUACUUGCACCGGCGCUCCCAUUCGUAACACGCGCCGCACAUGCCAUGCCUGUACCCGGCGGCCUUGGUGCCACACUUGCAGCGGCAGCCGUCGGGGCCCAGCAGCGCUGCUGCCAAAUGGCAACGCGCCGCCGCGAAGGCCGCAUUCAAUAAGUGCGCAACGGCGGGUUCUGGGCUCGGCCCGCCGGCGCCCCGCCCAGCGGCCAGCAGCAUUGCAUUCUUGAGGAUGGCGCAGGCGGUGCAAUCUGGAUGGGAUCUGUGACGCGUCACGACGUACUACGGUACUAGUGGCACGCAGCACACUACUGCACAAACGAGUCGCUGUCGAUCACCAGCUUGUCAGU
rnacentral:lncRNA from 1 species